GCAGGAUCUCUCUGAUUUUGAGUCCAGCCUGGUCUAUAGAGGUAGUUCCAGGACAGCCAGGCUACGCAGAGAAAGGGUCUUGAAAAACUGAAUGAAUGAAUGAAUGAAAUGAAUGGAAUGAAUGGAUGGUAUUGCCACUAUGGAAAAUUCCUCAAAAUUUUUUUUAAAAGAAUGCCAAAUGACCCAGAAAUCCAUUUCUAGGCGUAUGAGCCAAGCAUAAGAACACAGACCGUUAAUAUCACUAUCAAGGGGCUAAAGCAGGAAAGUCAAGUUCAAGGCUAGCUUAGGCUAUACAGCAAGAUCCUGCCUCGAAAUAAACACAUUCAUUCUCCCCCUCCAAGGCCUCAAAAUAUUUACAUGUUCCUUCACAGCACCCACAUUUACAAUAUCCAAAGGUAGGGCAAACUCACGCAUCUAUCAAUGAAUGAACUGAUAAACAAAAUGCCAAAUACAUAAAAGUGGAAUGGUAUCAGCCUGAGAACCAGGGAUUUAAUAACUCAGUGGUAGAAUGCUUGCCUAGCUUAGAGACAGAAAGGAGAGGAGGAGGGCAGGAGUGGGAGAAGACAAGAAGAUUCAGACACACCACAAUAUGAACAAAUCUGGAAGACAUGAUAUUAGGGACAAUAAACAAAGACAAAUAUUGAGUGAUUCUAUUUACAUGACAUCCCUAAGGCAGGCAAAUCCAUACAAAGAAAGUAGAAUGAAGGUCGCCUAGAGCGGAGGGACAGACAGGUGUUGUCCAAAGGAACAGAGCUGGGUGGUGGUGGUGGUGAUGGCUGCAUGACUGCAAGUUACUUAAUACCACGGUACAUUUAAAACUAGGAGACUUUGUAGUAUUUUACCACCAAACAAAAA
rnacentral:sRNA from 1 species